GCUACAUUAGCAGUUAGCCAGUAUCCCGCUCCUGAUAGGCUGAUGAAGCCCUUGUUGCUCUCUUCCUUUUUCUGCUGUUUUUUUCUUAAAUCUUCUUUCUACUUUAACCUGAAAUCAAUGUUUUAUCUGUCAGUGUGAACUACAAGCAGCUCUACAGAGAUGAAAACAGCUCGCAGAGACUCUUGAGCGGAGCUAGCGAUGCUAACAGGCUCCAGCAGCAGCUUCAGAGGAGCUGUGGCUCCUAAACUGGAGCUUCAGCUCCAGCAGAGCUGAAACAAAGCUCUACAACUCUGGUUUAGACGCUAAGAUGCUGAGCUUCCGGUCUGAAGGUAGGAGAAUAUUUAUUAAAAGAAAAAUUAUUCCGGAAACAGUCAGAAGGAUGAUGAUGUUUUAGCUGCAGAGCCACGAACUGAACUAUUAUUGAUAUCAGAGCAGGGCGGUUUCUGCCCUCUAGUGGACACAGAUGGUAACUACAGCUACUUGAUAAAGUUAGAGCGUUUACAAACGACAUACACUUCCAGUGAGUACUUUCACAUUAAGAGCCAUAGAAACGAGUUUCUCUGUUAGCUUUCAUUUGAAAUAAUACAUUUUACGUCUGUUGUUUUAUUUAAGAGCAGCAAAUUAAAUUUUACUCAUAUCAAACUGAAAUGACUGUCAAUUCAUAAAAGUAUUUAAAUAACAUUAACAGCAGCCCCAUCUCUGACCCGGUUCCCUCUCUGACUCUGACAUCAUGUCUUCUUUGUUGGACUCUCUUGUCUUCAUGAAAUCAGUUCCUUCAUUCAGAGACUCAAACUGAAAUGUUCUUUAGUGAAGAAGAAGCUUCAUCUGGAUCUGAUGUUGAAGCUGCAGUUUGAAUCCGUCUCAGGAUUGGGUUCAGAAUCCAGUUCAUGUCACUGAUCAGCAUCAUUGUGGCUCCAGAACGUGGCCCACCUCUACCUGUGCAGGCUGGAGGAGGCUAAGAGGAGGUUCUGAUGGAUCCAGUCUUUACCAGCUGUGGACACUGGUUCUACAGGCAAUGCAUCAGGUCCUACUGGGACCAGUCUGUUCCAUCGAGACCCUCCUCCUUCCCCCAGUGUGAAGAACGACCCAGAACAAGAGCUGAACAGCCAAUCAGAGCAGCUGUUCUCCAGGUGAGACUGAACUCCUCCAAUCAGAGCUUCCUGGCGUCUCUGUUGGACCAGAUUCACGUCUUUAGUUGAGAUUUUUGAAAUUGCAGGUUUAAAAGUGUUUCUGUGAUCAGUUAUUUCAAUAAGUCAGGUUCAAACACCUAUUAAAGAUAAAAUUAAUUAAACACAAGAAAGACAAGAGAGAUGGAUUCUGUAUACUCACGAGGAGAACAGACAGAGAUGUGCUUUCAGUUACAAUCUCUGAAAUCACAUAUGCCUGCUCCUCUCUUUUUAUUGCAUUCAGGAUCCCCAUCACAUAGGACGCUGCAACUCUCAAAGGGCAGGGAAAACAAAUCAUCACAUAGUUGCAGCGCUAAUGACAAUCACUAUCUAGACACAUGUUAUCUACACACUAGAUUCUUCUGUUCCAGACACAGGGCAGAACAGAGCAAGUUGUACGUCUUCACUGUGACAGUUUUACAGCGAUCUAACAGAUCAGGAAGGCCUUGGUUUCUGCUGAGCGAUAAACCCUGUUGGACCUGGUCGUCACUGCUUUUCUUCAGAGGCCUUCUUGCUCUCUCCAAGGAAGAUCUCAGGAAGGAAUCAAAGCGUUUGUACAUAUCAGAAGAGACACUGCCAGACUGAAUGGACCGGUUCUGACCGAGCCGGAGUCAGAAGGGACGAAUAUUCAGGUAGCAGGAAGGGUUACCGACGGUAACGAGCUUCACCAGAAUCAGUAAGAGCUGCUGGGUGAAUCCUGAAUAUUCUCCCUGCUGAUGCCACGUUUGAGGAGGAUCAUUCCAGAAGUCGGGUCAGAACCGGCCGGUAGUCGGGUCGAUGGUGAUGGAGGAAGCACAAAGCGGCGGCGGCGACGCGGUCGGAGCUGCAGCUCUUUGGAUCAUGUGACGUUUAGUUUCUUUCUGAAUGUAACAUGUUUGUUCUGGUUCUUCUUCAUGUGUAUUUAUGCCGCUGCGCCACCAGCAGAUAUUUAUUCACAUCCAAAUAAAAACUAAAUAUGAAAAA